rnacentral:rRNA from 1 species
UACAGAGGUCCCAAGCGUUGUUCGGAUUCACUGGGCGUAAAGGGUGCGUAGGCGGUCGGGUAAGUCUGAUGUGAAAUCUCACAGCUUAACUGUGAAACUGCAUUGGAUACUAUCCGGCUAGAGGAAUGGAGGGGAGACUGGAAUACUUGGUGUAGCAGUGAAAUGCGUAGAUAUCAAGUGGAACACCAGUGGCGAAGGCGAGUCUCUGGACAUUUCCUGACGCUGAGGCACGAAAGCUAGGGGAGCAAACGGG